GCCGGCUCUCAAGGAGUGUCUGACGCCAGGCCGGUUGGGAGACCCGCCCUGGACUUGUAGCCCUGCCCGUCCUGCGAUGCAGCACUCUCGGGGGAUGUUUUCCGGCAAAGGACCAGCCUCAGCGGAUGGCAUUGGCGGCCAGAGCUCCCCACCUUCAGCAGGCCACAGCUGCUACCAGCUGAAGAGCUGAAAGUAAGAGAGAGAGGCACAGAGCUCCCCAAACCAGCUGACCUCCACGGGAAGUCUGGUCAGAGAUAAGAGCUCACCUGGAGUUCCACUGUGUCUAGAGUUCCCUGCACUGCACCUCUGCGCCCUAUCGCAGCCAGGAGCACAAACACUCCUCCCCAAGGACCGCUGUGUGGCCACAGCGGACAGUGUUCUGUUCAGGCCAUCCCUUACCCACCGCUGCAAGGAGGUGGAGAAGCAGGCGCUCCCACCGAGAUGAGCAGUCUACAGCUAGAAAAGAAGGAAGAAAGAACUCAACAAGCUUGGAUGACAUUUUGGAGAGGGAUUUUGUUUAGGUUUGGGGGGGAUUGUUUGGUUUGGGAUUUUUCUCUCUGACUCAUUUAUCUUCAAGAUUAUAGUGUUUGUAGUGGGGCAGAGAGAGAGAGAAUUUUAGACUUAUUUAAUUUUGACACUUAGGAAAAGUAGGGAGAAGGCAUAUAAAAACAAUGCAUCAAGGUAAAAAUGUCCAUGUUUAAAUCAUGUUAUAACAGUA